GUCAUAGCUCAGUUGGUAGAGCAGCUGACUCGUAAUCAGCAGGUCGCAAGUUCGAUUCUUGUUGUCGGC
rnacentral:tRNA from 1 species